rnacentral:lncRNA from 1 species
GAAAAGAUGAGUUGGAUGAGCUCUGUGCAGCUAUGGAACGGUGACCAAAAUACCAAUGAAGCCAGUAAUAAACAACAGUCUAAAUCAGAGUUGAAAAUUGUAAGAACAUAAUUGACUUGACUUGCUUAUUGUAGACGCUGAAAUUCUCAGAUGUUUUCUUGUUCAUCUUUACUGAUUAUUUUUUUUGUUUUGUUGGAAUAAUCAGAGAUCCCCUGAAGAAGGAAAUAGCUCGGUAACUGAGGAUCGAUUCCAAUCUUGUAAAACCUUGAAUAUUGGAAAGGCAUUUUCACCUUUCAAGGGGUAUUCUGGUUUCUCAGUGACGACUGUUAGGAAAGACGAUGAAGAUGAACUACCAGGAGUACCAGGAUUAUCACUUCAUACUCCUGGAAUUAUAAAGCUGAGGGAGGACACUAGUGGUUUGAAUUCAAAAAUAAAGAUGAACUAUCAGGAGUACCAGGAUUAUCACUUCAUACUCCUGGAAUCAUAAAGCUGAGGGAGGACACUAGUGGUUUGAAUUCAAAACACAAUGGUAACAGAGGUGGUUUAUCUAGUGUAGCAAGU